UUUCCUACAGCUCCUUUCUCAUCCUUUUCAUCUUUCUUUUCUUUCUCAACCCUAAGAGCAAGCUAGGGAAGAAAAGCUUGGUGGAGUGGGAUUUCUUGUUGUUGGAGCUGAGAAGAAAUUUGAAGCUGUGAGCAAGUUAAAUUCAACAAAGGGCAAUUUGGAAGAGCACUUAAUUAAGGAAUUUAAGUAGAAGUGGCAGAAUUGGGGAUUUGGGCUGAUUGGAGCCACCAAAGUGGAAAAUUCAGCUAAGCAAGGUUGAAACUUGAGGGAAAAGCCUAAGUGGUGGCUCCUGCCUGGGUGGUGCAGGACUUGGGCACCCCAAGUUGAAGAAGCUUUAGUGGAGCUUCUUUGGUAACUCAAGCUGCAACAAAUCUGGUGGAUCUUGAAAUUUAGGUCGACGACGCGCUAAUCACGGUAGAGACCGUUCUAGUCCCAUUUGCACUGAGUCGCGAGAGAUAGUCGUCGACGCAUUUCGAGACAUUGAUCUUAGUUGAUUGACACCACUACAGGUGGGUGGUGCUAUCCGAAGUCUUUGAAUCACCUUUUAUGUCUAUUAUAUUUCAUUGAGCAUAUUUAUAAUUGUUUAGUCAUGCAUUAUAGGGUAAUUGGCAUUGUGCAAGUGAAAAUGUGAAUUUCUAUCAACAGUGAGAAUUUGUGGACUUUAGAAUAUGGACAUAGAACCCUAUGAAUGUAUGGACUUUAACAAUAGUGAACUUGGUGACAUUCAACUAGAGGUUUGGUUAGCAUCAAGAAAUGAAUUUGUGCAACUAGCAUAAAGAACUAGUUAGAGUAAAGUGUGACAGUGUUUGUCAGUUGAAUCCUCUAAAGGGGGAUCAGAUCAUACUCACAUUUGUUUGGUUCAAGUGAGGUCGCUCCUCCUUGAACGAUGAGCUCCGGAGUAGUCAUCUUUACUGGACCAGGAGGUUGCGUCUCCCCCAGUUGACAGUCCCGUCGGGUGCAGGUUGCGUCUCCCCGAUAUUUGGGAUAGUGUCAGUGAGUGAUUGUUAACCAAAAGGGUUAACCAAUGAAUUGGGUAAAUUCAGUAAAAAGCAUGCAUGCAUAUUUACAGUUUUCCUAUAUGCUUCUUUCAGCUU